ensembl:lncRNA
AUCCGGGCGGGCCCCUGCCAGCCCAGCUAGUUCCCAAGUCGAGACAAGCAACUUCCAUCCGCAAGCCUCCCCGCCCCCCGGCCCCCGCAGUCCCCCGCCUCCCGCCCACACGAGGCCCGGAGGCCCCGGGACGCACGCUCCGCGCCCUUCCUGGGGCGGCUGCAGGGAGCAACGCCGCCAGGCCAGGCCUACGAGGCAGGCGCAGCCACACCACCAGGCAGAGGGGGGCAGGCCACUGGAGGCAAGAAUCGUGCCACCGGUCCGGUCCCCUCACUCCUAAAAGACGCAGGAGGUCUCGCGUCGCAGAGCCAGCCAGAGCCCCUCUCCUCCUGUGCCGGCUCCCUCGUGCUCGAGCACGAGCCCCAAGAAAACCUUGCUCCAGACUUCGGUCGGGCCUCCUGUCAAUUUCAAUUACCCGGAGAGCCUAAGAGCCUGAGGUCGUAUCACCUUCUGGGAGAGACAGACCUAGAGUACUGGGAACAGAGCAGUGGGUGCCAGCGGGUAGGGGCGGGGAGGGGUGACUCCACAGGGGUCCAGGAGGAGCUUUGGGGGGCGUGGAACUGUUCUUUAUCUUCGUGGUGGUGGUGGUUACAAGAAUGCUCACCUGUGCUAAAAUUCAUAAUCUGUACACAAAGAUAAGCAGCUUUACUACAUGUUAAUUUAAAAAAUAAGAUUAGUUCAUUGGCCCAACUCAAGGUAACUGUUUUCCUGGCCGAGAUAAUAGCAAUCCAAAGGGUUGGAGUUUGUGGAGACAGAAAAGAACAAUCAGAGACAGGAGAGGAGGCAGGAGGGAAAAGGCGCGUGUGAGCCGGGAAAAGCCUGUUCUGAGUGCCGUCUGCCCUUCUGUUUUGAGAGCUGUCCUGGAGAUCAGUCUCGUUUACGUCUCGGGGCUUCCUCCCCCUCUUGUUGCCUCCUACCCCAGCAUUUCUCAGAAUGGUUACGCUUUUGCAGCAAAGCCUAACAGUUCCAACACUGGAUUCAGACAGAACAGAGGAAGGCAUUGCCCACGUGCCUCUCCUCUUUACACUUCAAUUGCCCCUCCUGGAGGGAGCUUCCAGAGGAUGAGCAUCUCUCCCUGGGCUAGGAACUGAUCGCUGCGCCCGCCCUGCUGUGUCCCUCGAGACGGCAGACCUGCUGUGAAAAGCUGUGCUGAGCCUGCAAGGCAAUCUCGUGACUGUGGUAAAAGGGACAUUCCUAUCAUAUGUGAUGUAUGCUCUUUGUUCCAAGACAGUGUCUAACCACUCUGUACACCCCACUUCUUUGGUGCCCUUCCUUCCUUGGGGAAGGAAGGCCCCAGGCUAGUCCUCAGAUGUGGCUCAUAAUAAACUCACCCCAAUUUUGAUUUAUAGAUUCGUAGUGGAUUAUCUUCAUGGACGAUUUCAACAUGUAAUCAAUGUAAAAAUUAUUAAUGAGGUAUUUUGCAUGUGACUACUGAAAUCAAGAGUCUGGGUGAUAUUAGUGAAGGGGUUUACUCAGUAAUCAGCGGGAGGAGCUGGAUCCCCCGGAAGACAGUCCCACAGCGUGCUCCAACAGAGCUCUCCGAGGGCUGCAAGCUGAAGUGCGUCUUAGCUCUCUCUCACAAACAGUGCACGCGCAGGGAAGAGGAAAAGAAAAAACUCACAGCUAGAUUUUAUAUUUGUCCCAAAAAGGGGGUAGAGGUCAUCUGGGCCUUUCUCUAGGUCAUACACUGAAUGCAACAUAAAUAAGAAUCCUUGGUUAUACAUCAAACGAGUUCAGAGAAGCUGACGUUAUCUACAUGAGCAGGGGGCAAGGACCAGGGUUGUUAAUUAUUCCCAUGCAACUGGGGAACGUGACAUUGAGGUACCUCUUUAUCUGUUCCUGCUGUGGGUCUGUCCAGCUGGCGUCUUCAGUCAGGAAACGUGGGGCUGCCGGGUCGUGGGACACAGGCUGGCGGUGACCUGCGUCGUGCUUCACGGUGCAGUGUGGAUUUACCGCGCUGACUUAAAGCCCGUGCAGUUUGCUGGUUAGAUUUGCCUGUUAGACCGGGAGAGGGGUCCCCAAACUCGGUCCAGGAUCCUUGUUUGGGGUUAUUAUGAAGCCACGGUUGUAUUCAUGACCAAUGAGGUGUUUCUUUGGUUUUCUCUGACAUGAUGGGGUGCCUCUCAUUUGCUUACCUAUCUUAUAUGCUAUUUAUUAAAAAUGCAUUCAGGAUCACCUCUGCCUUCCUAGCUGACAUGAUCCAGGCCUUGUCCUGUUGUUGCCUCCUUUGACACUUAGCACAACAUCGGAC